AAACAUUUCUGAGGGGAAGAUGUUUUUGGUAUAACCUGCUCAAUGCUUAAGUAAAUAGCUGCAGUAUUUUGACUGUACAAAGGUAGCAUAAUCAUUAGUCUUUUGAUUGAAGGCUUGUAUGAAUGGUUGAACAGAAUAUUAACUUUUUUAAUUACAUGAAAUUUUAAUUUAUAUUUUAUGUAAAAAUGCAUAGUUAAUUAAAAGGGACGAUAAGACCCUAUAGAAUUUGAAAAUGUUGUGGUAAUUAUAUUUUUUUGUUGGGGUGACAGUAAAUAAACUUUUAUAUAGUAUUCAUUGGUAAGUGAUUAAGUGAUCCUAUGUUUAGAUAAGAAGAUAAAAUUACCUUAGGGAUAACAGCAUAAUUUUUUUUAAAAGAUCUUAUUAAUAAAAAAGAUUAUGACCUCGAUGUUGAAUUAAAAUAAAAUUUUGGUGUAGAAGCUUAAUUU
rnacentral:rRNA from 1 species